rnacentral:rRNA from 1 species
AGUAGCGGUGAAAUGCGUAGAUAUCUGGAGGAAUACCAAAGGCGAAGGCAGUCCCCUGGUCCGAUACUGACACUGAGGUACGAAAGCGUGGGGAGCAAACAGGAUUAGAUACCCUGGUAGUCCACGCCCUAAACGAUGUCGAUUAGCCAUUGGAAGGACCCCUUUUCCUUUCAGUGACGUAGCUAACGCGUUAAAUCGACCGCCUGGGAAGUACGACCGCAAGGUUAAAACUCAAAGGAAUUGACGGGGACCUGAACAAGCGGUGAAUGAUGUGGAUUAAUUCGAUGCUACGCGAAGAACCUUACCUACCUUUGACAUGGCCAAAGUUCUACCGAGAGGCGGAAGUACUCGUAAGAGGAUCGGCGCACAGGUGCUGCAUGGUUGUCGUCAGUUCGUGUCGUGAGAUGUUGGGUUCAGUCCCGCAACGAACGCAACCCUUAUCUUUAAUUGCUCCUAUUUUAACAGGCACUUUAAAGAAACUGCCAAUGAUAAGUUGGAGGAAGGUGGGGAUCACGUCAAGUCCGCAUGGCCUUUAUAGGUAGGGCUUCACACGUCAUACAAUGGUUAGAACAAAGAGCUGCAAAUUCGUAAGAAGGAGCCAAUCUCACAAACCUAACCUCAGUUCGAAUUGCGGUCUGCAACUCGAGCGCAUGAAGCCGGAAUCGCUAGUAAUCGUGGAUCAGAAUGCCA